rnacentral:rRNA from 1 species
GACGAACGCUGGCGGCGUGCUUAACACAUGCAAGUCGAACGAAGUGGCGAACGGGUGAGUAAUACGUGGGUAACCUGCCCUCCUUUUUGGGAUAAGCCUUGGAAACGGGGUCUAAUACCGAAUAAAGGGGGAUGGGCUCGCGGCCUAUCAGCUUGUUGGUGGGGUGAUGGCCUACCAAGGCGGUGACGGGUAGCCGGCCUGAGAGGGUGACCGGCAACAUUGGGACGGAGAUACGGCGCAGAGUCCUAGGAGCGGCAGCAGUGGGGGAUAUUGCACAAUGGUCGAAAACCUGAUGCAGCGAUGUCGCGUGGGGGAUGAAGGCUUUCGGGUUGUAAACCUCGUUCGCUAUCGAAGGGGUAGGUGGAGAAGAAGCGCCGGCUAACUACGUGCCAGCAGCCGCGGUAAUAC